rnacentral:rRNA from 1 species
CACUCCUACGGGAGGCAGCAGUGGGGAAUUUUGGACAAUGGGCGAAAGCCUGAUCCAGCAAUGCCGCGUGAGUGAAGAAGGCCUUCGGGUUGUAAAGCUCUUUUGUCAGGGAAGAAACGGUGAAAGCUAAUAUCUUUUGCUAAUGACGGUACCUGAAGAAUAAGCACCGGCUAACUACGUGCCAGCAGCCGCGGUAAUACGUAGGGUGCAAGCGUUAAUCGGAAUUACUGGGCGUAAAGCGUGCGCAGGCGGUUUUGUAAGUCUGAUGUGAAAUCCCCGGGCUCAACCUGGGAAUUGCAUUGGAGGCUGCAAGGCUAGAAUCUGGCAGAGGGGGGUAGAAUUCCACGUGUAGCAGUGAAAUGCGUAGAUAUGUGGAGGAACACCGAUGGCGAAGGCAGCCCCCUGGGUCAAGAUUGACGCUCAUGCACGAAAGCGUGGGGAGCAAACAGGAUUAGAAACCCUAGUAGUCCCA